rnacentral:rRNA from 1 species
UCGCCCAGGAUGAGUCGCGUAGAUAGCUGUGGUGAGGUAAAGCUACAGCGACGAUCUAGCUGUCUGAGAGAUGUCAGCACCUGGACUGAGCCGCCAGACUCUACGGAAGCAGCAGUGGAUAUGACAUGGCGAAGCCUGAUCAGCAUGCGCGUGAGUGAUGAAGCCUAGGUGUAAGCUCUUUACCCGGAUGAUAUGACAGUACCGGAGAUAGCCCGGCUAACUCCGUGCCAGCAGCCGCGGUAAUACGAGGGGGCUAGCGUUGUUCGGAAUUACUGGGCGUAAAGCGCACGUAGGCGGCUUUGUAAGUUAGAGGUGAAAGCCCGGAGCUCAACUCCGGAAUUGCCUUUAAGACUGCAUCGCUUGAAUCAUGGAGAGGUGAGUGGAAUUCCGAGUGUAGAGGUGAAAUUCGUAGAUAUUCGGAAGAACACCAGUGGCGAAGGCGACUCACUGGACAUGUAUUGACGCUGAGGUGCGAAAGCGUGGGGAGCAAACAGGAUUAGAUACCCUGGUAGUCCACGCCGUAAACGAUGAUGACUAGCUGUCGGGGCGCUUGGCGUUUCGGUGGCGCAGCUAACGCGUUAAGUCAUCCGCCUGGGGAGUACGGCCGCAAGGUUAAAACUCAAAGAAAUUACGGGCGGUUGUACAAGGGCUGGGGCAGGUGGUUUAAUUGGAAGCAAAGCGCAGAACCUUAGCAGCGUCUGACAUAGUAGGACGGUUUCCAGAGAACAAUUCCAUCUCUGACGGGUUCUACAGACAGGUUCUGCAUGGCUGUUGUCCGCUCGUGUCGUGAGAUGUUGGGUUAAGUUGCGCAACGAGCGCAACCCUCGUCAUUAGUUCCUGCCAUUAAGUUGGGCACUCUAAAGAAACUCCCCGGCAUAAUCCGGAGGAAGGUCAGGAAGACGUCAACACCUAAAGGCCAUGGUGGGCCUGGCUACACGCCUGCUACAAACGCGGUGACAGAGGGCCGGACGACAGCGAGGGUGAGCUAAUCUCCAAAAGCCGUAUCAGUUCGGAUUCUUCUCUGGAACUCGUGAGCAUGAAGGCGGAAUCGGUAGUAAUCGCGGAUGUAGCACGACUCAGCAUAGG